GAUGAACGCUGGCGGCGUGCUUAACACAUGCAAGUCGAACGGAAAGGCCCAAGCUUGCUUGGGUACUCGAGUGGCGAACGGGUGAGUAACGCGUGGGUGAUCUGCCCUGCACUUCGGGAUAAGCCUGGGAAACUGGGUCUAAUACCGGAUAGGACCACUUCUUGGAUGUUGUGGUGGAAAGUUUUUUCGGUGUGGGAUGAGCUCGCGGCCUAUCAGCUUGUUGGUGGGGUAAUGGCCUACCAAGGCGUCGACGGGUAGCCGGCCUGAGAGGGUGUACGGCCACAUUGGGACUGAGAUACGGCCCAGACUCCUACGGGAGGCAGCAGGGGGGAAUAUUGCACAAUGGGCGCAAGCCUGAUGCAGCGACGCCGCGUGGGGGAUGACGGCCUUCGGGUUGUAAACUCCUUUCGCUAGGGACGAAGCGUUUUGUGACGGUACCUGGAGAAGAAGCACCGGCUAACUACGUG
rnacentral:rRNA from 1 species